rnacentral:rRNA from 1 species
GUAACCCGAAAUCGUGUAGUAGGGAGAUAUAUUUACCACUACUUGUAACCCGGAAUCGUGUACUAGGGAGGUACCGUCCGGCGUACAUGUGUAAAAAAAUCCCCACUACUUGUUACCCGGAAUCGGGUAGUAAGGAGGUAGCGUCCGGCGUCAUAUAUUUACCGCUAGGAGGGAAGGUGCGGCGGGGGAGGGUGGAUCCCAAGGUGGUCUCUCCUUUCCCCUAGCCCCCAGUCAAUACGCGGCGGCGGAGGACGGCACGCGGGUAGAGGGGGGAGAGCGGCGGCGUUAGCGGCAGCCUACGGAGCUUACUCCUAGGUCACGACGAACGCUCAUCCGCUGGUUUAUUCGUCGAGGGGGAAACCCUCGGCGUCAGGGGUUAGCUUCGUCGUUCUCGUCGUCGAAAAAACCCUCGCCGCUAGGCGUUAGUUCGCCGGGAAGAGGCUCGACGUUGGCCGUUAGGUUCGUUAGUUCGCCGAGGAGAGACUCGGCGUCAGCCUUUAGCUUCGCCAAGGGGAAAAAUCACCGAUUAGGCCUUAGUUUCGUCAGGAAAGGCCUAAUGUUAGUCUUUGUCCGGGAGAAAGCUUAAGUCAGAGGCUCAAAGGCAACCACCGCCGUUGGGCCGUCGACAUAUAUAUAUAUAUAUAUAGACCGGCCCUCCGUGACGCAGCGGGCAGUUAGAAGCCUCUUCUGCGCGUCGUCGUUGAGGGAUCUGUAGUCAAAAGUCUGACUGGCCGCCGUUGAGUCCGCUACCGCUCCUGAUCAGCGGCCGCUCUCCGACGGUUUAACUACCGGUUUGGUAGCCAAUUCCGCCUUAGGAGGGAGCUGUUCGACUUUACAUUCCUUCUACUAUCCUAGUCGUUCAACGGGUUACUGUAUGACCAGUUGUAAGAACUGGCAGAGUUAAAGGCACUACAAUGUUCUUGGUCACAGGAGAGGUCUGCAACCUCAGUCGAAGGACGGUUAGAGAGUGCCGAAUUUUAUUCACGAGCGCUAAAAGACAGGGGUGUUCGAUCGUAUGGACUACUACUUAACCUACUUUUUAACGAAGCCUAGUUACGUAACGAAUCCUAGUUACGUCAGUUACGUCGGUUACGUCGACACCAGUUUCGCUGUCUCUCGUGCGACCGUGUGUCUCUAGGUCCACCUACGUGGUAGGCGGAGAACUCGUGCUGCAAGAUGAACUCUCCACUAUGGGGUUAUAGACAACCCGUAUGACAACCGUUACGGUACCGCUGUGAGUUCCAGCUCUUUCGGCUUAAGUGUCAAAACUGUGUCGUCUUUCCUGCGGUCACAUCAUAACUACUCUACCACUUCAAACCCUGUGCCAAACACAGUAAAAAAUUACUUACGGUGUUACGUAAACGACCAGAGUGUGCGGAGAUGGACCUCUUAAACUCUAAGGCACUUAGGUUGAAACAGAGAUUGUAGGAACAGUGAACGUUCGUUAAUUUAAUAAAUCCAAAAAAGUUAACACUGUGUCUCCUAACCUAUUGCGAGGUUCAACUUGUGCGUGUCGAGUCACUCGAAUCAUAACAACUAACGGCAAAACUGUACCAGCUCGAGUGGACCCAAGGCUUUGAGUGGACCGACCGCAAAAACAAUACCAAUAUAGUACGUCUUGAUGGUGACAGUGACCCGAUACAGGGUAACGAGUCCCAAGACUCUGAAAGUUUACGACGAGUAUCAAAGGUGUUUUUGCAGUUCGACUCAUACAAAGAGGUACUCUGGAGACAAGCUCUGGACUGAAACCCCAAAUUUACACUUUUCCAAACCCAAGUUGGUCUCACAAACUGGUCUUCUGUCCGUAUACACAAGGUCGUUGAUUCCUAAGAGUUAGAUCAAUUUUAAGGACUUCCCAUACUAGAGUGGACCUGUUACAAGAAGAACCUUCGCCGCGGCAGGGACCUCCUCGAGAUGUACUACCAUACCCUGGUAGGUACACUUUACUUUUACCUAGUCCUCUAAUCGCUCUUGUUCCCGCAACUCACCCUUAGUGGAUGUAGUUUAAAGUUCGUGGUGACAGACCGGUUCAAGUAGGAGCAGCCGAAAGUUCGAUUUCUGAUGUACCACCGAGUACAGUCCGCACAGGACUUUCGUCGCCACUUAGAUGUCCUACACAUGGACAUACUAUCAGACCGUACACGGUUCACAGUGUUCUUCCAUCUCUUACGCGCGUGCAGACUACGUCACCAUGCACCAUACACGGGCCCGCACUUAGACGGCUAUUUCAAGGGAACAUGUUUACUCCUGGUCGCAAGUCACGUCUUCGCUUACGGGGCCCCGUAACCCAGUGAACGGUUUUAGGUGAAGCACUGUAGAUUCCUUUACUCCCGACUUGUAGCAGCUUCCUACCCACAGUACCCUCGAUUGACCUACAACAGCUCCGAUCCCGUCGCAUAAAUUAAUUAUGGUCAGCCAACCUCAACGCUCGAAAAGAACCAACGAGAAGAAAACACCAACGUUGCGAACAUAUUUGAUUUAAGUCAACUUCAUUAAACAUCGUGAUAACAGGCACUUAAGUUCUUCAGCUAUGUUGGUCAAUUUUAAACUCUGGUUCACAAAUCUCAAUAUAACUAGAUACUACCACCACUCACACGCAGUCAACUAUACCAAUAAACACUCG